CAGUCGCCGCGGUAAUACGUAGGUCCCGAGCGUUGUCCGGAUUUAUUGGGCGUAAAGCGAGCGCAGGCGGUUAGAUAAGUCUGAGGUUAAAGGCUGUGGCUUAACCAUAGUACGCUUUGGAAACUGUUUAACUUGAGUGCAAGAGGGGAGAGUGGAAUUCCAUGUGUAGCGGUGAAAUGCGUAGAUAUAUGGAGGAACACCGGUGGCGAAAGCGGCUCUCUGGCUUGUAACUGACGCUGAGGCCCGAAAGCGUGGGGAGCAAACGGGAUUAGAUACCCCGGUAGUCCCUGUCUCUUAUACA
rnacentral:rRNA from 1 species